AACGCACAUUGCGCCCCGUGGUAUUCCGCGGGGCAUGCCUGUUCGAGCGUCAUUUCAACCCAUCAAGCUUCUGCUUGGUCUUGGGGCCUGCGGUUUCGCAGCCUCUAAACUCAGUGGCGGUGCUAUUGAGCUCUGAGCGUAGUAAUUCUUCUCGCUAUAGGGUCUUCGUAGUUACUUGCCAGUAACCCCCAAUUUUUAUCAGGUUGACCUCGGAUCAGGUAGGGAUACCCGCUGAACUUAA
rnacentral:misc_RNA from 1 species